rnacentral:lncRNA from 1 species
AAAUGCUGAGGCCAAGGCCUGGCCAAACUACCUUUUGCUUCCCGGGCUUGUCCACAGCUGGAGAGGCAGAGCCCAGGCUGUGUCUGUCACUCUCGGUGACAAGGCUGCACUGUGUGUGCCUGGGACUGCAAGGCCAUGGGAUCUCCCCUUUGUCCCUGCUUCAACCCCCAGCCCCAGGCCCUAAGCACAAGUGCGUCAGAGGCGUGUUUUCUUCUGAACCCAUCUGGGACAAGGUCAUCGGAGGGGAGGUUCCCUGUGCACAAGUUCAGUGCUCCUCGACCAGGAACUCGGCCAAAGGGCACAGGGUAAAACUCACCCACCCCCUAGCAGCCUUCCCACCCAGACACAUGGGAAAAUGUCCCGUUAGCCCUUCCAGUCAUGCGAAUGAGGCCACGAUUGAUUCAAAGGCAGUGGGCAAGGAGGAGGCCGCAUGGAGCAGUCAGAAAGAACCAGCCCUUUGUGCUGCAGCAGGGUCCUUGGGGAUGACAGAGACUUACAAAGAUGUGGUGACUGGCUUAUACCCACAUAGCCAAAGGUUCCUUCUGGGAAACCAACCAGAGGUCCUCCUGCAGGUGAAGCUCAUCCUGCUACCAUCUCACGCCUGCGAGGUGUGUGCACAUGUGCACCUGUACGGUUGGUGAAUCUCUGUGUAAUUUUUCUAGAGCCCCUUACAGAACGUUUUAACCAUUCCCCCAGUUCCCUUCCUCCCCCUUCUCUUCUCUCUUGGGGCUGUCUUGGCUUACAAUUCAGUUUCUUGACAGAGGGUAAGAGGCAGUGGUGCUAUCGGCACAGCUUCAGGACCCCAGGCUUCUGAAAACCCAGUGGCUGUUUACAAGUGAGUCCUGCCGGGGAAGGAGGGAAGUGGGUCUGCAGUUCACACUAGACACAGAUGCAGUCCUGGUACCAACAUGACUUCCUGAUGAGCCUAAAAAAUUGUUCUCUAAAGGCAAAGUGAAGAAAGCAGGUGGGUUGGGGGAACCUGUGUUCUGACUUUGACUUGUUUUUUUUCCAGUUGUAUGACCUUG